CAGUCGCCGCGGUAAUACGUAGGGUGCGAGCGUUAAUCGGAAUUACUGGGCGUAAAGCGUGCGCAGGCGGUUAUAUAAGACAGAUGUGAAAUCCCCGGGCUCAACCUGGGACCUGCAUUUGUGACCGUAUAGCUAGAGUACGGUAGAGGGGGAUGGAAUUCCGCGUGUAGCAGUGAAAUGCGUAGAUAUGCGGAGGAACACCGAUGGCGAAGGCAAUCCCCUGGACAAAGACUGACGCUCAGGUGCGAAAGCGUGGGGAGCAAACAGGAUUAGAUACCCCCGUAGUCCCUGUCUCUUAUAC
rnacentral:rRNA from 1 species